rnacentral:rRNA from 1 species
GACGAACGCUGGCGGCGUGCUUAACACAUGCAAGUCGAGCGGGAAACUUCGGUUUCCAGCGGCGGACGGGUGAGUAACACGUGGGCAACCUGCCUCACAAUGAGGGAUAGCCCUCCGAAAGGAGGAUUAAUACCUCAUAACACAAGAGAAACGCAUGUUUCUCUUGCCAAAGAAUUUCGUUGUGAGAUGGGCCCGCGGCGCAUUAGCUUGUUGGUGAGGUAACGGCUCACCAAGGCUUCGAUGCGUAGCCGACCUGAGAGGGUGAUCGGCCACAUUGGAACUGAGACACGGUCCAGACUCCUACGGGAGGCAGCAGUGGGGAAUAUUGCACAAUGGAGGAAACUCUGAUGCAGCAACGCCGCGUGAGUGAUGAAGGUCUUCGGAUUGUAAAGCUCUGUCUUCUGGGAAUAACACAAUGAAGGUACCCUGUAAGAAAGGAUCGGCUAACUUCGUGCCAGCCGCCGCCGUAAAAC